rnacentral:sRNA from 1 species
UGCCCGUCAACACCAUGGGAGUGGGUUGCUCCAGAAGUAGCUAGUCUAACCGCAAGGGGGACGGUUACCACGGAGUGAUUCAUGACUGGGGUGAAGUCGUAACAAGGUAGCCGUAGGGGAACCUGCGGCUGGAUCACCUCCUUAAUCGAAGAUCUCAGCUUCUUCAUAAGCUCCCACACGAAUUGCUUGAUUCACUGGUUAGACGAUUGGGUCUGUAGCUCAGUUGGUUAGAGCGCACCCCUGAUAAGGGUGAGGUCGGCAGUUCGAAUCUGCCCAGACCCACCAAUUGUUGGUGUGCUGCGUGAUCCGAUACGGGGCCAUAGCUCAGCUGGGAGAGCGCCUGCUUUGCACGCAGGAGGUCAGGAGUUCGAUCCUCCUUGGCUCCACCAUCCAAACAAUCGUCGAAAGCUCAGAAAUGAAUGUUCGUGAAUGAACAUUGAUUUCUGGUCUUUGCACCAGAACUGUUCUUUAAAAAUUCGGGUAUGUGAUAGAAGUAAGACUGAAUGAUCUCUUUCACUGGUGAUCAUUCAAGUCAAGGUAAAAUUUGCGAGUUCAAGCGCGAAUUUUCGGCGAAUGUCGUCUUCACAGUAUAACCAGAUUGCUUGGGGUUAUAUGGUCAAGUAAGAAGGCUUCG